rnacentral:lncRNA from 1 species
AAAAUCAGUUGUGAUUCCAAGAAGAGAUGAACUCAAGUGGUGAGGUUCUCUUUAUGUCCUCAUUUCAUGAAAAUGUGCUCUGCUAAAGCCUUCUGAAAAGAUGUUCUACAAGAAGCCUGCUGCUGGUGCUCAUCUCUGGAUUCCCUCUGCCUUGGAUGCACAUUCUAACUGGUUGAACUAAACAGAGUUGGUUGUUGUUGUCUGAAAGAAAUAGACUAUAUUCAAAAUAAAUAUUACCUGGACAUGUCA